GUCUACGGCCAUACCACCCUGAAUGUGCCUGAUCUUGUCUGAUGUUGGAAGCUAAGCAGGGUCAGGCCUAGUUAGUACUUGGAUUGGAGAAGUUAGAAGUUUGCUUUUGAAUCUAGGUAAACCAUGCAAU
ensembl:rRNA 5S_rRNA 5S ribosomal RNA